GACGAACGCUGGCGGCGUGCUUAACACAUGCAAGUCGAACGGAAAGGCCCUGCUUUUGUGGGGUGCUCGAGUGGCGAACGGGUGAGUAACACGUGAGUAACCUGCCCUUGACUUUGGGAUAACUUCAGGAAACUGGGGCUAAUACCGGAUAGGAGCUCCUGCUGCAUGGUGGGGGUUGGAAAGUUUCGGCGGUUGGGGAUGGACUCGCGGCUUAUCAGCUUGUUGGUGGGGUAGUGGCUUACCAAGGCUUUGACGGGUAGCCGGCCUGAGAGGGUGACCGGCCACAUUGGGACUGGGAUACGGCCCGGGCCCCUACGGGGGGGAGGAGGGGGGAAUAUUGAAAAAGGGGCGGAAGCCGGAUGCAGCAACGCCGGGGGGGGGAGGACGGCCUUGGGGUUGUAAACCGUUUUCGCCUGGGACGAAGGGUGAGGGACGGUAAUGGGUAAAAAAGCACCGGCUAACUACGU
rnacentral:rRNA from 1 species